rnacentral:rRNA from 1 species
AUUGAACGCUGGCGGCAGGCCUAACACAUGCAAGUCGGACGGUAGCACAGAGGAGCUUGCUCCUUGGGUGACGAGUGGCGGACGGGUGAGUAAUGUCUGGGGAUCUGCCCGAUAGAGGGGGAUAACCACUGGAAACGGUGGCUAAUACCGCAUAACGUCGCAAGACCAAAGAGGGGGACCUUCGGGCCUCUCACUAUCGGAUGAACCCAGAUGGGAUUAGCUAGUAGGCGGGGUAAUGGCCCACCUAGGCGACGAUCCCUAGCUGGUCUGAGAGGAUGACCAGCCACACUAGAGCGGAGGCACGGUCCAGACUCCUACGGGAGGCAGCAGUGGGGAAUAUUGCACAAUGGGCGCAAGCCUGAUGCAGCCAUGCCGCGUGUAUGAAGAAGGCCUUCGGGUUGUAAAGUACUUUCAGCGGGGAGGAAGGCGGUGAGGUUAAUAACCUCGCCGAUUGACGUUACCCGCAGAAGAAGCACCGGCUAACUCCGUGCCAGCCGCCGCAGUAA